rnacentral:tRNA from 1 species
CAAGUGUUGCUAAAUUAGGAAAGCAUCUCCCUUACACUGAGAAAUUACCCGUGCAAAUCAGGUCACCUUGA